UACGUAGGGGGCUAGCGUUGUCCGGAUUUAUUGGGCGUAAAGAGCGUGUAGGCGGCCAGGUAGGUCUGCUGUGAAAACUCGAGGCUCAACCUCGAGACGUCGGCGGAAACCAUCUGGCUAGAGUCCGGAAGAGGAGAGUGGAAUUCCUGGUGUAGCGGUGAAAUGCGCAGAUAUCAGGAAGAACACCAGUGGCGAAGGCGGCCCUCUGGGACGGUACUGACGCUGAGACGCGAAAGCGGGGGGAGCGAACAGG
rnacentral:rRNA from 1 species